rnacentral:rRNA from 1 species
UGCGGGGAAUCGACCCCCUGCGUGCCGGAGCUAACGCGUUAAGCGUGCCGCCUGGGGAGUACGGUCGCAAGAUUAAAACUCAAAGAAAUUGACGGGGACCCGCACAAGCGGUGGAGUAUGUGGCUUAAUUCGAUGCAACGCGAAGAACCUUACCUGGGCUUGACAUGUAAUGAACAACAUGUGAAAGCAUGCGACUCUUCGGAGGCGUUACACAGGUGCUGCAUGGCCGUCGUCAGCUCGUGUCGUGAGAUGUUUGGUUAAGUCCAGCAACGAGCGCAACCCCUGUUGCCAGUUACCAGCACGUGAAGGUGGGGACUCUGGCGAGACUGCCCAGAUCAACUGGGAGGAAGGUGGGGACGACGUCAGGUCAGUAUGGCCCUUAUGCCCAGGGCUGCACACGUACUACAAUGCCCAGUACAGAGGGGGCCGAAGCCGCGAGGCGGAGGAAAUCCUGAAAACUGGGCCCAGUUCGGACUGUAGGCUGCAACCCGCCUACACGAAGCCGGAAUCGCUAGUAAUGGCGCAUCAGCUACGGCGCCGUGAAUACGUUCCCGGGUCUUGCACAAAGCGCCCGUC